rnacentral:rRNA from 1 species
CAGGCCUAACACAUGCAAGUCGAACGAGGUAGCAAUACCUAGUGGCGGACGGGUGAGGAAUACGUAGGGAUCUGCCCUUAAGUGGGGGAUAACCCGGGGAAACCCGGAUUAAUACCGCAUGAUCUCGCAAGAGCAAAGAGGGGGACCGCAAGGCCUCUCGCUUUUGGAGGAACCUACGUCGGAUUAGCUAGUUGGUGAGGUAAUGGCUCACCAAGGCUACGAUCCGUAACUGGUCUGAGAGGAUGAUCAGUCACACCGGAACUGAGACACGGUCCGGACUCCUACGGGAGGCAGCAGUGGGGAAUAUUGGACAAUGGGCGAAAGCCUGAUCCAGCAAUACCGCGUGUGUGAAGAAGGCCUUCGGGUUGUAAAGCACUUUAAGUUGGGAAGAAAAAACUUUACUUAAUACGUGAAGUCUUGACGGUACCGACAGAAUAAGCACCGGCUAACUCUGUGCCAGCAGCCGCGGUAAUACAGAGGGUGCUAGCGUUAAUCGGAUUUACUGGGCGUAAAGCGUGCGUAGGCGGUUUGAUAAGUCGAUUGUGAAAGCCCUGGGCUCAACCUAGGAAUUGCGGUCGAUACUGUCAGACUAGAAAACGGUAGAGGGAGGUGGAACUCCAGGUGUAGCGGUGAAAUGCGUAGAUAUCUGGAAGAACACCGAUGGCGAAGGCAGCCUCCUGGGCCUGUUUUGACGCUGAGGCACGAAAGCGUGGGUAGCAAACAGGAUUAGAUACCCUGGUAGUCCACGCCGUAAACGAUGAGAACUUGACGUUGGUUUGCUUAGCAAAUCGGUGUCGUAGCUAACGCGAUAAGUUCUCCGCCUGGGGAGUACGGCCGCAAGGUUGAAACUCAAAGGAAUUGACGG